GACGUAGGGUCCAAGCGUUGUCCGGAUUUACUGGGCGUAAAGAGCGCGUAGGCGGUCUGUUAAGUGAGAAGUGAAAGCUCCGGGCUCAACUCGGAAACUGCUUUUCAUACUGGCAGACUUGAGGGAUGCAGAGGUAUGUGGAAUUCCUGGUGUAGCGGUGAAAUGCGUUGAUAUCAGGAGGAACACCCAUGGCGAAGGCAGCAUACUGGGCAUCAUCUGACGCUGAGGCGCGAAAGCGUGGGUAGCAAACAGG
rnacentral:rRNA from 1 species